CAUGGGACACAGGGGACCUAAAUUGGCAAUGUCUUCAUGGUGGUUAUAGCUCCUAGGGAGGUUACAGACAGGAGACAGCGAGGAAGGGAAACCAGGGAGCAACAAGGUCCAUGAGGGCAGUAAGAGCAGAUGGGACAGAGAUGGGCAAACUAUAGCCCAUCACCUCUCACCCACCACCUGUUUGUAUAUGGCAGAUACUGGAUUGCUAAAAGAAGGAGAACCAAGGAGACGAGGCCUGUGAUUGUCCCAGCUUGCCACCCUUGAAGAGCGUUACCAGACCGGAGCACAGGGAAGGGAGAAAGAAGGCCAAAAUCAAGUCUGUUAGGCUCACUGAACUGAGGAGACAAAACUUGGAGUUCAGGGAGGCAGAGCGACCAAAAUCUGUGGAUUAAAGUGUUGAUGGGAGGGCCGGCCAGAUAGCUCAGCAGAGUGAAGUACCUACUUAGGCAGAGUAAAGUGGCCGGGGCUC